UACGGGGGGAGCAAGCGUUGUUCGGAUUUACUGGGCGUAAAGGGCGCGUAGGCGGCCACCGCAAGUCGACUGUGAAAUCUCCGGGCUUAACCCGGAAAGGUCAGCCGAUACUGCGGGGCUAGAGUGCAGAAGGGGCAACUGGAAUUCUCGGUGUAGCGGUGAAAUGCGUAAAUAUCGAGAGGAACACCUGCGGCGAAGGCGGGUUGCUGGGCUGACACUGACGCUGAGGCGCGAAAGCUAGGGGAGCGAACGGG
rnacentral:rRNA from 1 species